GACGAACGCUGGCGGCGUGCUUAACACAUGCAAGUCGAACGGAAAGGCCCUGCUUUUGUGGGGUGCUCGAGUGGCGAACGGGUGAGUAACACGUGAGUAACCUGCCCUUGACUUUGGGAUAACUUCAGGAAACUGGGGCUAAUACCGGAUAGGAGCUCCUGCUGCAUGGUGGGGGUUGGAAAGUUUCGGCGGUUGGGGAUGGACUCGCGGCUUAUCAGCUUGUUGGUGGGGUAGUGGCUUACCAAGGCUUUGACGGGUAGCCGGCCUGAGAGGGUGACCGGCCACAUUGGGACUGAGAUACGGCCCAGACUCCUACGGGAGGCAGCAGUGGGGAAUAUUGCACAAUGGGCGGAAGCCUGAUGCAGCAACGCCGCGUGCGGGAUGACGGCCUUCGGGUUGUAAACCGCUUUCGCCUGUGACGAAGCGUGUGUGACGGUAAUGGGUAAAGAAGCACCGGCUAACUACGUGCCAGCAGCCGCGGUGAUACGUAGGGUGCGAGCGUUGUCCGGAUUUAUUGGGCGUAAAGGGCUCGUAGGUGGUUGAUCGCGUCGGAAGUGUAAUCUUGGGGCUUAACCCUGAGCGUGCUUUCGAUACGGGUUGACUUGAGGAAGGUAGGGGAGAAUGGAAUUCCUGGUGGAGCGGUGGAAUGCGCAGAUAUCAAGAGGAACACCAGUGGCGAAGGCGGUUCUCUGGGCCUUUCCUGACGCUGAGGAGCGAAAGCGUGGGGAGCGAACAGGCUUAGAUACCCUGGUAGUCCACGCUGUAAACGGUGGGUACUAGGUGUGGGGUCCAUUCCACGGGUUCCGUGCCGUAGCUAACGCUUUAAGUACCCCGCCUGGGGAGUACGGCCGCAAGGCUAAAACUCAAAGGAAUUGACGGGGCCCCGCACAAGCGGCGGAGCAUGCGGAUUAAUUCGAUGCAACGCGUAGAACCUUACCUGGGUUUGACAUGGAUCGGGAGUGCUCAGAGAUGGGUGUGCCUCUUUUGGGGUCGGUUCACAGGUGGUGCAUGGCUGUCGUCAGCUCGUGUCGUGAGAUGUUGGGUUAAGUCCCGCAACGAGCGCAACCCUUGUUCACUGUUGCCAGCACGUUAUGGUGGGGACUCAGUGGAGACCGCCGGGGUCAACUCGGAGGAAGGUGGGGAUGACGUCAAGUCAUCAUGCCCCUUAUGCCCAGGGCUUCACGCAUGCUACAAUGGCUGGUACAGAGAGUGGCGAGCCUGUGAGGGUGAGCGAAUCUCGGAAAGCCGGUCUCAGUUCGGAUUGGGGUCUGCAACUCGACCUCAUGAAGUCGGAGUCGCUAGUAAUCGCAGAUCAGCAACGCUGCGGUGAAUACGUUCCCGGGGCUUGUACACACCGCCCGUCAAGUCAUGAAAGUUGGUAACACCCGAAACCGGUGGCCUAACCGUUGUGGGGGAGCCGUCGAAGGUG
rnacentral:rRNA from 1 species